UUAUGUGAUCGUCUCUCGCAUAUCAAUAAGCGGAGGAAAAGAAACUAACAAGGAUUCCCCUAGUAACGGCGAGUGAAGCGGGAAGAGCUCAAAUUUGAAAUCUUAAAGGGUUUCCCUUUACGAAUUGUAGUUUAAAGAAGUGUUUUCUGUUGAGGUUUUGGUAAAGGUUCUUUGGAAUAGGACAUCAUAGAGGGUGAGAAUCCCGUAUUUGACCUUUACUUUCAACUUUGUGAUACACUUUCAAAGAGUCGGAUUGUUUGGGAAUGCAGUCCAAAAUGGGUGGUAAAUUUCAUCUAAAGCUAAAUAUUGGCGAGAGACCGAUAGCGAACAAGUACCGUGAGGGAAAGAUGAAAAGAACUUUGAAAAGAGAGUUAAACAGUACGUGAAAUUGUCAAAAGGGAAGCGUUUGACACCAGUGUUGUUUUUCUGAAAAUCAAUUAAAGAACUGUUUAUGCUAAGCUGUUUAGACUUUAUCAGCUAACUGUUUAGUUUUGAGCUUUUCUUUAAUGCACUUUUCAGUUAACAAGUCAACAUCAAUUUCUUUUGCUGUAAAAAAGCUUGAGGAAGGUGGCUUGAGAUUCGUCUUAAGUGUUUAUAGCCUCUUGCCUAUGCAGUCGGAGAGAUUGAGGUCUGCAGCGUAGAUCCUUCGGGGCUAAAUGCAGUUUGUGCUAAGUUAUAGCAUUUUAUAGACAACUUGUUGACUAUGAUUUGUCUUGUAGCUUACUCGCUUAUGUUAUUUUACCUACGCUUAGGAUGUUGAGUAGCGACAUACGCAC
rnacentral:rRNA from 1 species